rnacentral:rRNA from 1 species
UACAGAGGUCUCAAGCGUUGUUCGGAUUCAUUGGGCGUAAAGGGUGCGUAGGCGGCGCGGUAAGUCGGGUGUGAAAUCUCGGAGCUUAACUCCGAAACUGCAUUCGAUACUGCCGUGCUCGAGUACUGGAGAGGAGAUUGGAAUUUACGGUGUAGCAGUGAAAUGCGUAGAUAUCGUAAGGAAGACCAGUGGCGAAGGCGAAUCUCUGGACAGUUACUGACACUGAGGCACGAAGGCCAGGGGAGCAAACGGG